rnacentral:rRNA from 1 species
AAUAGGAUUAGAUACCCUGGUAGUCCACGCUGUAAACGAUGUCGACUUGGAGGUUGUGCCCUUGAGGCGUGGCUUCCGGAGCUAACGCGUUAAGUCGACCGCCUGGGGAGUACGGCCGCAAGGUUAAAACUCAAAUGAAUUGACGGGGGCCCGCACAAGCGGUGGAGCAUGUGGUUUAAUUCGAUGCAACACGAAGAACCUUACCUACUCUUGACAUCCAGAGAAUUUAGCAGAGAUGCUUUAGUGCCUUCGGGAACUCUGAGACAGGUGCUGCAUGGCUGUCGUCAGCUCGUGUUGUGAAAUGUUGGGUUAAGUCCCGCAACGAGCGCAACCCUUAUCCUUUGUUGCCAGCACGUAAUGGUGGGAACUCAAAGGAGACUGCCGGUGAUAAACCGGAGGAAGGUGGGGAUGACGUCAAGUCAUCAUGGCCCUUACGAGUAGGGCUACACACGUGCUACAAUGGCAUAUACAAAGAGAAGCGAACUCGCGAGAGCAAGCGGACCUCAUAAAGUAUGUCGUAGUCCGGAUUGGAGUCUGCAACUCGACUCCAUGAAGUCGGAAUCGCUAGUAAUCGUAGAUCAGAAUGCUACGGUGAAUACGUUCCCGGGCCUUGUACACACCGCCCGUCACACCAUGGGAGUGGGUUGCAAAAGAAGUAGGUAGCUUAACCUUCGGGAGGGCGCUUACCACUUUGUGAUUCAUGACUGGGGUGAAGUCGUAACAAGGUAACC